CUGGCGCGCCCCGCCGCCGUUCCGAGUUGGGGGGUUUCUGUGUUGUGGGUCCGGGAAGAAGCGAGCGUGGAAAGGUGCCGGGUUCUCGAACGCUGUUUCUGUCCACUGCCACCCUCCUCCCCGUUCUGGGAGUGGGAUUAAGUCGUGUCUGUGGGUCUGGCCAUCUCCGGAGUCUGCAGCUUGGGGCCGAUUCCUCGGUCUCUACCUCCUGUUGCAGGUCCUUAAUCAUUCAACAGAGACAUAAUAACUUUAUUGGAUGGAGCAAUACUUCUUGCUAAUCAGCAUAUACACACCCAGUGACCUUGCAUGAAGAAGCAGCCUGUCUGCAGAAGAUUGCAUCUCAUCUAUACAAAGCAGGAGUGAUGUUGUCAAUGUGUGUGUGUGCAUGCAUUUAUGUAUCUGUAUGCUUGUGCAGAGAGGGGAAGAUGGGGGAGGGGAUGUGGCUUUGUUACUUAGCUUGCUUGAUUUUUAUCCACAGUUAUUAAGAGGUAAAACAUUGUAGCUCAACCCCUAGAAGUGGUCGUUUGCUUUACAGAGAGGAAAAUCUCUGCCCCCUUACCAUGGCUUGCAUUUCCAGCCCCAAAAGGCAAAAACAGGGAGCACGUAACUCAGUGGAAUCAAUAGCACGACCAGAAAGUCAAUUCAGUCAUAUGAUGGUGGAUCAGUAUCAUCAUUGUAAAGGAGAGGAGAUCACUGUACUGUCAGAUGCAUCACUCUGACUUUCCCCCAUCACUGUAAUCCCAGCACACUGGAAGGCUGAGGUGGGAGGAUGGCUUGAGACCAGGAGUUUGGGACCAGCCUGGGCAACAUAGCAAGACCCCGUCUCUACA
rnacentral:lncRNA from 1 species